GAGAUCCUAAGCUUGAAUGUGGGGGUCACAAAUCCUGAUUUUAUUAACCCGGGUUGGAUCUUGUUCAUCCCGAUGGGAGUUGCCGUUUUUUCCAACAGAAAGUUUGUCGGUUUACCGAUCAUAAUUGCAGUAUCAAUAUCAACUGCAAUUAUGCUCCUUUUGACGUUCACCAUUGUAUUUCUCAUGAAAAGGAGACCUCCGGUGCCCAUUGUUGAAGUGCCAAAGAAAGAGAUGGAGAGAGUUCGCAGCAACACAAGUAUAGCUAUCCUGGAGAGCCAUUACUUUCCAUCGAAGAGGAUUGCUGAUAUUGAUCCAUUCCAAACAAAGAGACCUGUGAUUUUCAGCCUGAAAGCGAUUGGAGAUGCCACAGUUAAUUUUGAUGAGAAGAGGAAGAUUAGUGGUGGAUAUGGCAUGGUCUACCUAGGUUUCAUAGGAGCACAUGUAAGAAUUUCAUGUAGUAUAUUUCUCAGCAGAUCAAAGGAGUUCUUUGCUGAGCUGAAAGUGCUGUGCAAAGUACAUCACAUGAAUAUGAUUGAGUUGAUUGGUUAUGCUGCUGGGGAGGAUCACCUAUAACUUGUUUACGAGUAUGUUCAGAAUGGAUCACUUAGGGAGCAUCUCCAUGAUCCUUUGCUGAAAGGUCAUCAACCUCUCUCAUGGACUACAAGAACACAGAUAGCAACGGAUGCUGCAUGCGGUAUUGAGUAGAUCCAUGACCAUACGAAGGCCUGCUAUGUGUACCGUGACAUCAGAACAAGCAAUAUUCUGCUAGAUGAUGGACUAAGAGCUGAAGUUUCGGAUUUUGGCUUGGUAAAGCUUGUUGAGCGCAGUGAUGAAGAAGAUUGCCUGGCAACUUGUUAUGUUGGAAAGCCAAGCAACCAACCACCGGAGUCAGUUCAUGAGCCUCACAUGACUACGAAGUCUGACGCCUAUGCGUUUGGAGUAGUUCUUGCAUAACUGAUUACUGGUCUUAGUGCACUUGUGCGGGUCAAUAAGGAAGCUAAUAAGAUAAAGUCACUUAUCUCAAUUAUGAGAAAAGCUUCCAGAUCAGAUGAUGUGGUGAGCUCACUGGAGAAAAUCAUAGAUCCCUCCUUGAAGGGCAACUACCCCAUAGAAGAAGUGUGUAAGCUGGCAAAUAUUUCGAUGUGGUGCUUGAGUGAGGAUCCAUUGGACCCUGAGAUGAGGGAGAUUAUACCAAUGCUGUCUCAAAUUGAUUUGACUUCCAUAGGGUGGGAGACAUCACUAGGAGGCGACGGUGAAGUCUUUAGUGGCGUUUUCAUUGGUAGAUGA
rnacentral:rRNA from 1 species